rnacentral:rRNA from 1 species
CCUACGGGGGGCAGCAGUGGGGAAUAUUGGACAAUGGGGGGAACCCUGAUCCAGCCAUGCCGCGUGUGUGAAGAAGGCCCUCGGGUUGUAAAGCACUUUCAGUGAGGAAGAACGCCUGGUGGUUAAUACCCAUCAGGAAAGACAUCACUCACAGAAGAAGCACCGGCUAACUCCGUGCCAGCAGCCGCGGUAAUACGGAGGGUGCGAGCGUUAAUCGGAAUUACUGGGCGUAAAGCGCGCGUAGGUGGCUUGAUAAGCCGGUUGUGAAAGCCCCGGGCUCAACCUGGGAACGGCAUCCGGAACUGUCAAGCUAGAGUGCAGGAGAGGAAGGUAGAAUUCCCGGUGUAGCGGUGAAAUGCGUAGAGAUCGGGAGGAAUACCAGUGGCGAAGGCGGCCUUCUGGCCUGACACUGACACUGAGGUGCGAACGCGUGGGUAGGAAACAGAAUUGGAUCCCCGAGAAGCC